rnacentral:lncRNA from 1 species
UUCCACAAUAAUCCAUUGAAAUUAGAUCCAAAAGCGAUUAUAUACAUCAAGCAUAUAAUGGUUAAGAAUCACACCAAUAGGAGAUUUAAAAUUGAAAUUCAAUAAGUACUUCAAUUAUUCGAUGACAAAAACGUGAUUGAAUUUGUUGACUACUGAACUCCGAUCUAACAAAAACAAUUCGCUAAACCUACCACAGGCAGAUGUGAGUUUGGUCACCACUCCCCGAUCGGACUAGCCCGUCGUUAUCUGAGGAAAACAUCAUGAUCACCCUAUCAAUCAUAUACACUUACCACAAGUGAUGUCAUCACUACCCCAAACCGCCAAUCCGAAGCCAUAAUUCUCAAGUCCCUUACAGGUCAUCAUUACCUGGGAAAAACAUUGAUGCAUGGCCACCUGCCUCGUCGACCAAUCACAGGAAAAUUCGACGAUCCGAGUUCCGAGCUCGGUAUUAUAGCUGAUUUGAUUGAUUUGACAUAAUUUCGACUGGAACCAUGUAUAAAUAUUAGGGCAAAAAUCUUGUAAAUGGCAAGUAAAUUAAUGUAAAAGCUCACGACACAAUUACACUUUCUCAACAUAUUUUGUGACUUCUUUUAAUAAUAAAUUCUCCUUUUUCUUAAAGUUGGCUUAAAAUUAGCUUUGCUAAUUUUGACGUAAACAGUUUGGCGCUAGAAGGAGGGCCCCCAAUUGUGAAAAAUAGUCUCAUUCUCCCCAUAAAAUUCGAGAGCCAUGAGUCAUAGCUCAAGUUCUAGAAACCUAUCUCACACCCAACCUUAUGAAAUGAAUACUCCACCAAGUUCUCUAAGACGACAUGACCCUCAAAUGAUCGCCAUGAGCGAAUCCCUAGAAAAACUAACAAAUGCAGUGGGACGAUUGGAAUGGAGUCAAUCCCAUAUAUCCCUACCAGAUAUCGAGGCAAAAUCCCCUGCGAGGACAAGACCAAGACAUCCCCCCAUCAGGAGGACUCUCCACUUUUCAAGAGGAGAAUCCUCAAGAAGCCUAACUGACGAAGUCAGGAGUAAGGAUCCCAGGGCGAGAAGAACUGGCAGUGUGUUCGACAGACUGGGGACCCAGCACUCGCUAACUCCUACGCAAGGACAAACUCACCCUAACCUUAAGCUUUCUCUGGAACAGACAGAACCAGAGUUGAGCGCCCUGAAAAGCCGCAUAGCUGACUUGGAGGCUAACAACAAAGGUGGCAUCGAAGAUUAUCUCACCAAACGACAUUCCCCCUUUACUGAGGAUGUCCUUAUGGAAUCAUUACCUGAAAAAUUGAAAAUUCCCCAGACAGCCGAAUAUGAAGGAGAUGGUGAUCCUCUCAGCCACCUUGACAAAUACACCUCGUGGAUGGAACUGCAGGGGGCAAGCAACGCAAUUAUGUGCCGGGUAUUCCCCCUGACUCUAGAAGACAAAGCUCAGAGAUGGUUUAGGAGACUACACCAAAGGUCAGUAAAAAAUUGGAAUGACCUGGCCACGACAUUCUUGGCCUAGUCCAUGGGCUCCAAGGCUAUAACCACACCCAAAGAACAGCUAGUAAGCAUCAAACAGGAAAGAAGUGAAUCCCUCAAAAGCUAUUUGAGCAAAUUCAACAAGUAAUCCAUGGAAGUGGAAAAAAUAUCUGACGACGCAGCACUCAUGGCCGUACUAGUCGGACUUAGGCCCAAAAUGAGAUUUUGGUGGUCAGUACACGAGGACGGCCCAAGAACUUAUCACGAGUUCUUGAACUGAGCUGAGAAAUACAUAAGUGUUGAAGAGGCAACCUUUGACCAAGAAGAAGCCAGAUGUGAACCUGACUUCAGCAAUACGGUGAACGAAAAAAAAUCAAGCGGCAGUCCUCAGCCCGAAAGAAAGAAGGAGAGGAGUCAAAGAAAACGUCAUAAGACUCAGCCAUACAAAUUUCGAGAAUACCACCCACUCAAAGCCUCCUUGGAAGAAGUAUUCACGCAAACUAAUGAAAAAGUGGCAUUUCGCAGGCCUUGAUCCUGAAGGACGGGCAAGCAGGACACCACCAGGGACGAUACUGUCGAUAUCACAGGAUGGUGGGCCAUGACACUGAUAACUGUCGAGAAUUAAAAGAGAAAGUUGAGUCCUUAAUUCAUAGAGGUCGGUUACUUGAGUUUGUUGCCAAACCGAAUGAAGCAAAUCAACCUACGACGCAGUAGUCGCUGUUGCAGGGGCCUCCCGCAUAAGCUCAGCAGGCAGUCCCUAUUCGUAAUCCACCCCCACGCGUCGAAAUCAAAAUGAUGGUGGGAGAAAAUUAGUAUGUUGAGAGGUCUAGAAGGGCAAAAAGAAGACAAGCCCAAGUGCAAGAAUCGUCCCGAACUACUGGAAUCAAACCCCGCAGAUCGGGAUAGACCCUGAAUGGUUCUGGUUCACGGAGGAAGAUUCUGAAGGAAUCCUCCAAGAUCAAAGUGACGCCCUAGUGGUCACAAUGCCAGUUGUCAGAGUAAAAAUCCACCGGACAUUGGUAGACAACGGAAGUUCGGUCAACAUACUGUACUCACG